rnacentral:rRNA from 1 species
UGCAGUCGGACGGUAGCACAGAGAGCUUGCUCUCGGGUGACGAGUGGCGGACGGGUGAGUAAUGUCUGGGGAUCUGCCCGAUAGAGGGGGAUAACCACUGGAAACGGUGGCUAAUACCGCAUAACGUCGCAAGACCAAAGAGGGGGACCUUCGGGCCUCUCACUAUCGGAUGAACCCAGAUGGGAUUAGCUAGUAGGCGGGGUAAUGGCCCACCUAGGCGACGAUCCCUAGCUGGUCUGAGAGGAUGACCAGCCACACUGGAACUGAGACACGGUCCAGACUCCUACGGGAGGCAGCAGUGGGGAAUAUUGCACAAUGGGCGCAAGCCUGAUGCAGCCAUGCCGCGUGUAUGAAGAAGGCCUUCGGGUUGUAAAGUACUUUCAGCGGGGAGGAAGGCGAUGCGGUUAAUAACCGCGUCGAUUGACGUUACCCGCAGAAGAAGCACCGGCUAACUCCGUGCCAGCAGCCGCGGUAAUACGGAGGGUGCAAGCGUUAAUCGGAAUUACUGGGCGUAAAGCGCACGCAGGCGGUCUGUUAAGUCAGAUGUGAAAUCCCCGGGCUUAACCUGGGAACUGCAUUUGAAACUGGCAGGCUUGAGUCUUGUAGAGGGGGGUAGAAUUCCAGGUGUAGCGGUGAAAUGCGUAGAGAUCUGGAGGAAUACCGGUGGCGAAGGCGGCCCCCUGGACAAAGACUGACGCUCAGGUGCGAAAGCGUGUGGAGCAAACAGGAUUAGAUACCCUGGUAGUCCACG